rnacentral:lncRNA from 1 species
GCGUCUUGAGUUUCUUGGAAAUUCUGUACCGGAUUAUAUCACAACCAUGCAUCUGUACCAUAAAUACCCAGGAAUAUCACCUGGAUUGCUAACUGAUCUGAGAUCAGCUUCUGUAAACAAUGAUUUUUACUCUUUAUGUGCGAUUAGGGCUGGAUUGCAAAAGCACAUUCUUCAUGCUUCCCAAAAACUUCACAGGCAAUUGGAGUCCUCUCUUCAGAAAUUAGAUCCAUUAUUAAUGGAACAAUAUUUGGAUGGGAGUCAGAAAAUUCUCUUCCCAAGGUCAGUGUUCGAAGCUUGAUGUGAUUAUUUAUUUCCAUUUAAACUUCCCCUAACAACAUGUUUUUUGAAAAAAAGAAAGAAAGAAUGUUAUCUCUUAAAAACUAAAAUUAUAUAUAUUGGAUAAUAAGUAAUUUAUUGAUUAUAAUGGACUUACUUUUUGGCAUGAAUUAAAUCUUUAUAGAUAAAUACCUACAUUUGCACUUCCUAUGGAUUUAAGCAUUUAAGAUAGUGAUUCCCCCAUUCAUUUGAUUUUGUUGUGCAUGUGGUACACGUUCUUAGAGAUCUAAUAGAAUCUUUAGCAAGGGAAAUAGUAGGUUAUUCCGGAUAUAGAAAAGAUAUUGUAUUCGAGAGCAUAAGGCCGCUUUUGAAACCCUUGGUUUCUCUUGAGACGAUCAAGUUUUAACCAAUGAGAGAAUUGCAAUAGUUGUGCCAAAAAGAGAACUACGUGUUAAAAAGAGCCUGUUGUGUCAACUGACAAUUCUACAACAACUGUUAUAGCAGAGGUUGAAGCCAAUGACGUCAUAUAUAAAGAGUCAUGCACUGGUCCAAAUAAGGCAGGAGCCAAGAAUCGUGCUUCAAAAAGCUGUUUUCAGGUCGUUAAAAGAGAGUAUGUCCACCAAAUUUCUCCCACUUCCUCUCCUUUCAUCUCCCAAGCGUAAUAGGUAAAAGGAAGAGAAUUGAAAGUGUAAUGAUAACUUUGCAUGCUUCACUACUAUGAGUCCCUCGUAUGCUGAACUUUGAGUUUUCCGAUCUUUCAUUAAAAGGAUUUUAUUACAUUUUUUUUAAAACACAUGGUACUAGUGUUGAGAUAAGAAUUAAUUAAAAUGACAAUCUUAGGGGAUGUAAAUUGUAUAGAUUAAGAGUAAAAUAUUUUUAAAGAGUUCUCAUCCCCUAAGAUCUUUGAUUUUAAAGAUCUUUCUAUCUUUAAAAAUAUUUUACUCUUAAUCUGUACAAUUUACAUCCCCUAAGAUUGUCAUUUUCAACCACUCUCAUCCUAGCACUACUAACAAGUGUUUUAAAAAAAUAAUAAUAAAAACCUUUUGAUGAAAAAUUGGAGAACUCAAAGUUCAACAUAUGAGGAACUCACAGUAGUGAAGCAUACAAAGUUAUCAUUACUCUUUCACUUCUUUUCCUUUUGCCUUUUAUGCUUGGGAGAUGAAAGAGAGGAAUUGGACGAAAUUUGCCGGACAUGCUCUCUUUUAACGACCUCAAAACAGCUUUUGAAGCACUUUUUUUGGUUUGUGCCUUAUUUGGACCAGUGCAUGACUCUGUGUGUAUGAAGUCAUUGGCUUCAACCUCAACUGUAGCAGUUGCUGUAGACUUGUCAGUUGACACAACAGGCUCUUUCCAACACACGUAGUUCUCUUUUUGGCACAACUGUUGCAAUUCUCUCACUGGUUGAAACUUGAUCGUCUCAAGAGAAACCAAGGUUUUCAAAAGCGGCCUUAUGCUCUCGGAUUAUUACAAUAUCUUUUUCAUAUCCGGAAUCUACUAAUAUUGCCUUAGCUAGAGAUUUUAUUACAUCUCCAAGAUCCUUUACCACAUGCCCAACAAAAUCAAAUGAAUGCGGGAAUCACCAUCUUAAAUGCUUCUAUCCAUAGGAUUUGAAAAAAUAGGCUUUUAUCUGCAAAGCUUUAAUUCAUGCCAAAAAUGUAAGUCCAUUAUAAUCAAUAAUUCUAAAUUAAUUCAUGCCAAAAAAUUUGUUGAACCUGUAAGACAUUGUGCUUCGAUGAUUUUGGCUAUAAUUUAAAAAUAUUAUGUUAUUAAUAUUUUAGAUUGUUAUAAAUAGAAUACAUCACUUCAAUAUGGUAGUAAAUGAUGUCUAAUCUUCCCACAAAUUUCUUAAAGGCAUGUAGAGGUUUGACAAUUAUAGUCAGUCAUAACAGCUUGGCUAUAAUUAUAGAUAAGGGGAGAGUAUGGUUGGAGUGUGAUAUUUUGAACUGAUUAUCAAUUUUUUUUUUAUCUGUGCUAUGCCAACUCACUUUUUAACAAAGGGUUUUAAUGAUUGGAAUUUGACGCGGGUUGUCAUAUGCAUAUGGCCUUUAUGGGGCAUCCUGGUUUUGCCGGAGACCCUCCUCCAUCUUGUGAGAGGACUGAACCAACUUGGCGAACGGUGCAAGCAGGAUGAAGUAGUGUUUUCCGUUGCGCGAUAAACAUAUGGCUUCUUUUACAAUCAAGGUCAAGUAAGAGGUGUCAUGCAAACUCAUCCGUGCUUCCGGUAAAGUUGUUGCCAAGAGGCCGGUUAAGAAAGCUUUUCUCAAGUAAUUAAAUGAGAGCAUGUUGAACAUGCCACAACUUGUCCCUGCCAAAAGAGGGCAUGUGAAGCAGAUAGAAGAAAAAGAAGAUAUUCUGAUAAAUUUUAUUAAUUGACUUCCCACUAGAAGUGGUGCUUUAUGCAUAGAAGGCCAUAGUGAUUUAUUCUUUGUAGGAAGAUUACUUGGUAGAAGUUUGGAAAUAAAUUUUACCGGCUCUUAGUUGAGUUACGUUUGUUAACGAGACAGUGUCUUCCGUCAUAUAAAAUUGUUAGCUGAAAUUAGUUAAAUGUUAUUAUAAAAAGUUCAAAUCUAGAUGAAGUUUGAUACUUUACACUUUUGUAUAAUGCACAACUCACAAUUAUAUUUUAUUAUUUUAUUUAUGUGGAGUCUAAGUCCAUUAAACUUUGAGCACUAUGAAUCCUAGUUCACAUGAUCCAAGCACAUUUUUAAUGUUAGAGUUGCCAUAAAACCAAUAUAUAGUGUAAUAUAAUAGUCCAACAUCAUUGCCAUAACAUUUAUAGCCAACAUCGUAGGAGAUGCUCUAAACUAGUAAUAUUUAUUUGGGAAAUGAAAUGUAUACUUCACAUUAAAAAAUAUUAUACUACACAUACAAGCGUUGCUUACAAUAUUUUAGCAAGUGAAGUGUUUCUUAUUUCUCUUUUGCAGCAUCUUGAGUUUCUUGGAAAUUCUGUACCGGAUUAUAUCAGAACCAUGCAUCUGUACCAUAAAUACCCAGGAAUAUCACCUGGAUUGCUAACUGAUCUGAGAUCAGCUUCUGUAAACAAUGAUUUUUACUCUUUAUGUGCGAUUAGGGCCGGAUUGCAGAAGCACAUUCUUCAUGCUUCCCAAAAACUUCACAGGCAAUUGGAGUCCUCUCUUCAGAAAUUAGAUCCAUUAUUAAUGGAACAAUAUUUGGAUGGGAUUCAGAAAAUUCUCUUCCCAAGGUCAGUGUUCGAAGCUUGAUGUAAUUAUUUAUUUCCAUGUAAACUUCUCCUAACAACAUGUUUUUUGAAAAAAAAAAGAGAGAAAGGAAUGUUAUCUCAUAAAAACUAAAAUUAUAUAUAUUGGAUAAUAAGUAAUUUAUUGAUUAUAAUGGACUUACUUUUUUGGCAUGAAUUAAAUCUUUAUAGAUAAAUACCUACAUUUGCACUUCCUAUGGAUUUAAGCAUUUAAGAUAGUGAUUCCCGCAUUCAUUUGAUUUUGUUGUGCCUGUGGUACACGUUCUUAGAGAUCUAUUAGAAUCUUUAGCAAGGGAGAUAGUAGUUGAUUCCGGAUAUAGAAAAGAUAUUGUAUUCGAGAGCAUAAGGCCGCUUUUGAAACCCUUGGUUUCUCUUGAGACGAUCAAGUUUUAACCAGUGAGAGAAUUGCAACAGUUGUGCCAAAAAGAGAACUACGUGUUAAAAAGAGCCUGUUGUGUCAACUGACAAUUCUACAGCAACUGUUAUAGCUGAGGUUGAAGCCAAUGACGUCAUAUAUAAAGAGUCAUGCACUGGUCCAAAUAAGGCAGGAGCCAAGAAACGUGCUUCAAAAAGCUGUUUUCAGGUCGUUAAAAGAGAGUAUAUCCACCAAAUUUCACCUACUUCCGCUCCUCUCAUCUCCCAAGCGUAAUAGGCAAAAGGAAGAGAAUUGAAAGUGUGAUGAUAACUUUGUAUGCUUCACUACUAUGAGUCCCUCGUAUGCUGAACUUUGAGUUUUCCGAUCUUUCAUUAAAAGGAUUUUAUUAUAUUUUUUUUAAAACACAUGGUACUAGUGUUGAGAUAAGAAUUGUUGAAAAUGACAAUCUUAGGGGAUGUAAAUUGUAUAGAUUAAGAGUAAAAUAUUUUUAAAGAAUUCUCAUCCCUAAGAUCUUUGAUUUUAAAGAUCUUUCUAUCUUUAAAAAUAUUUUACUCUUAAUCUAUACAAUUUACAUACCCUAAGAUUGUCAUUUUCAACAAUUCUCAUCCUAGCACUACUAACAAGUGUUUUAAAAAAAUAAUAAUAAAAACCUUUUGAUGAAAAAUUGGAGAACUCAAAGUUCAGCAUAUGAGGAACUCACAGUAGUGAAGCAUACAAAGUUAUCAUUACUCUUUCACUUCUCUUCCUUUUGCCUUUUAUGCUUGGGAGAUGAAAGAGGAAUUGGACGAAAUUUGCCGGACAUGCUCUCUUUUAACGACCUCAAAACAGCUUUUGAAGCACUUUUUUUGGUUUGUGCCUUAUUUGGACCAGUGCAUGACUCUUUGUGUAUGAAGUCAUUGGCUUCAACCUCACUAUAGCAGUUGCUGUAGAAUUGUCAGUUGACACAACAGGCUCUUUUUAACACACAUAGUUCUCUUUUUGGCACAACUGUUGCAAUUCUCUCACUGGUUGAAACUUGAUCGUCUCAAGAGAAACCAAGGUUUUCAAAAGUGGCCUUAUGCUCUCGGAUUAAUACAAUAUCUUUUCUAUAUCCGGAAUCUACUAAUAUUUCCUUAGCUAGAGAUUUUAUUAUAUCUCCAAGAUCCUGUACCACAUGCCCAACAAAAUCAAAUGAAUGCGGGAAUCACUAUCUUAGAUGCUUAUAUCCAUAGGAAUUGAGAAAAUAGGCUUUUAUCUGUAAAGCUUUAAUUCAUGCCAAAAAAGUAAGUCCAUUAUAAUCAAUAAUUUUAAAUUAAUUCAUGCCAAAAAAUUUGUUGAACCUGUAAGAUAUUGUGCUUCGAUAAUUUUGGCUAUAAUUUAAAAAUAUUAUGUUAUUAAUAUUUUAGAUUGUUAUAAAUAGAAUACAUCACUUCAAUAUGGUAGUAAAUGAUGUCUAAUCUUCCCACAAAUUUCUUAAAGGCAUGUAGAGGUUUGACAAUUAUAGUCAGUCAUAACAGCUUGUCUAUAAUUAUAGAUAAGGGGAGAGUAUGGUUGGAGUGUGAUAUUUUCAACUGAUUAUCUAUUCUUUUUAUUUGUGGUAUGCCAACUCACUUUUUAACUAAGGGUUUUAAUGAUUGGAAUUUGACCCGGGUUGUCAUAUGCAUAUGGCCUUUUUGGGGCAUCCUGGUUUUGCCGGAGACCCUCCUCCAUCUUGUGAGAGGACUGAACCAACUUGGUGAACGCUGCAAGCACGAUGAAGGAAUUUUUUUUUUUUUGCGUGAUAAACAUAUGGCUUCUUUUACAAUCAAGGUCAAGUAAGAGGGUGUCAUAUGCAAACUCAUUAGUGCUUCCGGUGAAGUUGUUUCCAAGAGGCCGGUUAAGAAAGCUUUUCUCAAGUGAUUAAAUGAGAGCAUGUUGAACAGGCCACAACUUGUCCCUGCCAAAAGGGGGCAUGUGAAGCAGAUAGAAGAAAAAGAAGAUAUUCUGAUAAAUUUUACUGUUUGACUUCCCACUAGAAGUGGUGCUUUAUGCAUAGAAGGCCAUAGUGAUUUAUUCUUUGUAGGAAGAUAACUUGCCAGAAUUUUGGAAACAAAAUUUUACCAGCUCUUAGUUGAUUUAUGUUUGUUAACGAGUCAGUGUCUUCUGUCAUAUAAAAUUGUUAGCUGAAAUUAGUUAAAUGUUAUUAUAAAAAGUUCAAAUCUAGUUGAAGUUUGAUACUUUACACUUUUGUAUAAUGCACAACUCACAAUUAUAUUUUAUUAUUUUAUUUAUGUGGACUCCAAAGUCCAUUAAACUUUGAGCACUAUGAAUCCUAGUUCACAUGAUCCAAACACAUUUAAUUGUUAGAGUUGCCAUAAAACCAAUAUAUAGUGUAAUAUAAUAGUCCAACAUCAUUGCCAUAACAUUUAUAGCUAACAUCAUAGGAGAUGCUCUAAACUAGUAAUAUUUAUUUGGGAAAUGAAAUGUAUAUUUCACAUUAAAAAUAUUAUACUACACAUAGAAGCGUUGCUUACAAUUUUUUAGCAAGUGAAGUGUUUCUUAUUUUUCUUUUGCAGCGUCUUGAGUUUCUUGGAAAUUCUGUACCGGAUUAUAUCUCAACCAUGCAUCUGUACCAUAAAUACCCAGGAAUAUCACGUGGAUUGCUAACUGAUCUUAGAUCAGCUUCUGUGAACAAUGAUUUUUACUCUUUAUGUGCGAUUUGGGCCGGAUUGUAGAAGCACAUUCUUCAUGCUUCCCAAAAACUUCAUAGGCAAUUGGAGUCCUCUGUUCAGAAAUUAGAUCCAUUAUUAAUGGAACAAUAUUUGGAUGGGAGUCAGAAAAUUCUCUUCCCAA